rnacentral:rRNA from 1 species
GAUGAACGCUAGCGACAGGCCUAACACAUGCAAGUCGAGGGGCAGCACAUGAGUAGCAAUACGAUGGUGGCGACCGGCGCACGGGUGAGUAACACGUAUGCAACCUACCUGUAAGAGGGGAAUAACCCGGAGAAAUUCGGACUAAUACCGCAUAAUACUGAGAUACUGCAUGGUAUUUCAUUUAAACAUUUAUGGCUUACAGAUGGGCAUGCGCAUGAUUAGCUAGUUGGUGAGGUAACGGCUCACCAAGGCAACGAUCAUUAGGGGUUCUGAGAGGAAGGUCCCCCACACUGGUACGGAAACACGGACCAGACUCCUACGGGAGGCAGCAGUGAGGAAUAUUGGUCAAUGGGCGAGAGGCUGAACCAGCCAAGUCGCGUGAAGGAUGAAGGUUCUAUGGAUUGUAAACUUCUUUUGUAAGUGAAUAAAAAAAGGUACGUGUACUUUAUUGUAUGUACUUUACGAAUAAGGAUCGGCUAACUCCGUGCCAGCCGCCGCAGUAA